GAAAACUACGGGGCAGUAGCGGGGGGAAAGGGGGGGUGGGGGGGGUGAUGCGGAGGUGCUGGGGGUAAGGGGGGCGGAGGGGGGGGGGGAAGGUGGGGGUGAAAGCUCGUGGCUGAACUGGGGGGGGACGCUCAAGACUGCUCGGCUGGAGGGCGAGAGAGGGGUGCAGAAUGCCCGGUGUAGGGGUGGAAUGCGUAGAUAUCGGGAGGAAUACCAGUGGCGAAAGCGGCGCCCUGGCUCGCACCUGACACUGAGGCGCGAAAGCGUGGGGAGCGAACGGGAUUAGAUACCCUUGUAGUC
rnacentral:rRNA from 1 species